rnacentral:rRNA from 1 species
GACGGGGCCCGCACAAGCGGUGGAGUAUGUGGUUUAAUUCGAUGCAACGCGAAGAACCUUACCUACCCUUGACAUGUCCGGAACUUGCCAGAGAUGGCUUGGUGCCCGAAAGGGAAUCGGAACACAGGUGCUGCAUGGCUGUCGUCAGCUCGUGUCGUGAGAUGUUGGGUUAAGUCCCGCAACGAGCGCAACCCUUAUCAUUAGUUGCUACGCAAGGGCACUCUAAUGAGACUGCCGGUGACAAACCGGAGGAAGGUGGGGAUGACGUCAAAUCAGCACGGCCCUUAUGUCCAGGGCGACACACGUGUUACAAUGGCCGGUACAAAGGGCAGCUACCUGGUGACAGGAUGCUAAUCUCCAAAACCGGUCUCAGUUCGGAUCGAAGUCUGCAACUCGACUUCGUGAAGCUGGAUUCGCUAGUAAUCGCGCAUCAGCCAUGGCGCGGUGAAUACGUUCCCGGGCCUU